UAGGGAAUCUUCCGCAAUGGGCGAAAGCCUGACGGAGCAACGCCGCGUGAGUGAUGAAGGUCUUCGGAUCGUAAAACUCUGUUAUUAGGGAAGAACAAAUGUGUAAGUAACUAUGCACGUCUUGACGGUACCUAAUCAGAAAGCCACGGCUAACUACGUGCCAGCAGCCGCGGUAAUACGUAGGUGGCAAGCGUUAUCCGGAAUUAUUGGGCGUAAAGCGCGCGUAGGCGGUUUUUUAAGUCUGAUGUGAAAGCCCACGGCUCAACCGUGGAGGGUCAUUUGAAACUGGAAAACUUGAGUGCAGAAGAGGAAAGUGGAAUUCCAUGUGUAGCGGUGAAAUGCGCAGAGAUAUGGAGGAACACCAGUGGCGAAGGCGACUUUCUGGUCUGUAACUGACGCUGAUGUGCGCAAGCGUGGGGAUCAAACAGG
rnacentral:rRNA from 1 species